GAGUUUGAUCAUGGCUCAGGACGAACGCUGGCGGCGUGCUUAACACAUGCAAGUCGAACGAUGAAGCCCAGCUUGCUGGGUGGAAGAGUGGCGAACGGGUGAGUAACACGUGAGUAACCUGCCCUGAACUCUGGGAUAAGCACUGGAAACGGUGUCUAAUACUGGAUACGACCUAUCACCGCAUGGUGUGUGGGUGGAAAGAUUUAUCGGUUUUGGAUGGACUCGCGGCCUAUCAGCUAGAUGGUGAGGUAAUGGCUCACCAUGGCGACGACGGGUAGCCGGCCUGAGAGGGUGACCGGCCACACUGGGACUGAGACACGGCCCAGACUCCUACGGGAGGCAGCAGUGGGGAAUAUUGCACAAUGGGCGCAAGCCUGAUGCAGCAACGCCGCGUGAGGGAUGACGGCCUUCGGGUUGUAAACCUCUUUUAGUAGGGAAGAAGCGAAAGUGACGGUACCUGCAGAAAAAGCACCGGCUAACUACGUGCCAGCAGCCGCGGUAAUACGUAGGGUGCAAGCGUUGUCCGGAAUUAUUGGGCGUAAAGAGCUCGUAGGCGGCUUGUCGCGUCUGCUGUGAAAUCCCGGGGCUCAACCCCGGGUCUGCAGUGGGUACGGGCAAGCUAGAGUGCGGUAGGGGAGAUUGGAAUUCCUGGUGUAGCGG
rnacentral:rRNA from 1 species